AGUCCUGCAUCAGGCUCUGCAGGGAGCCUGCUUCUCCCUCUGCUUAUGUCUCUGCCUCUCUCUGUGUGUCUCUCAUGAACAAAUAAAUAAAAUAUUUAAAAAAAAUUUUUUGAGAUCAUAUUACAUAUAUUGUUUUAUGACCUGCUUUAUGUAAUCAUAUUUGAUGACCAUUUCCCAUGUUAGGGUAACUGUCAAGACCUGCUUGCCUUUUCAGUAUUCACAUUGAUCGUUGUUAAGCCUUCAUCCCCUUUAGGACGGAACCCGGAUCCAGAGUCUACAGUCAGAUCUUCAGGUUCACUCUGGCGGGAAGAACUCAGAUCUCGGUUGGGAUAUCCUGACCCACUGGUUAAGAUGGCAAGUUGAGUGGUAGGGAUUACCUUAAUUUCUAUCUGCCCUGAGGCCAACCACAUCCUUCCUUCAUUCCCCAUGGAGCUAGUGGUGAUCCUGACCCACUGGUUAAGAGGGCAAAUUGAGUGGUAGAGAUUACUUUAAUUUCUAUCUGCCCUGAGGCCAACCACAUCCUUCCUUCAUUCCCCAUGGAGCAAGUGGUGGCUACCAGCCAUAUGUCUACAUACAAGGGGGACUCCAGAGACCCCAAAAGACGUGCUCCACAGACUUUUUUGUGUUCCCCAGGAGAAGAAGCAUCUGGCAACUUAAAAUUUUUUAAAUAACUUAAAAUUUUUUUACUAUAAUACAUACACAGUAAAGUAUGCAAAGUGUUCAUUUUGAUGAAUGAUCCCAAAGUGAACACACCCAUGGAACUUCCACCUAGAUCAAGAAACAUCACAGCAGCUGGCAAAUUGUAGCAGGAAACUCCUUAAAGUUCUGCCUAUAUCAGCACUUGGCUGCAUCUAUUUUUCUUCAAUAAGAUUUUUAAUGACUGAAUUAUGUAGAUAAAUCAUGAUUUAAUUAAUAACCUCCCUUGGGCAGCCCGGUGGCUCAGUGGUUUAGCACCGCCUUCAGUCCAGGGUGUGAUCCUGGAGACCUGGGAUGGAGUCCCACGUCGGGCUCCCUGCAUGGAGCCUGCUUCUCCUUCUGCCUGUGUCUCUGUCUCUCUCUCUGUCUCUCUCAUGAAUAAAUAAAAUUUUAAAAAAUAUAUAGGGAAUAUUUAGUACAGUGCUUACAAACACUCAAUAAGCAGCAGGCAUUAUUAGCACCUUGGAUUAAUUCAUUAGAAGUUGGAUUUCCAGAGAAAGGGUUUGAACAUUUCUGAGGUUUUGAUACAGGUUAUUCAGCUGGUUCCAGAAAGGUGGUCUCCAUUUACCUGCCCAGAAUGCCCUGGCUCUUAUCACUACUGUGUACUGUCUUCUUCAAAGAGAAUUAAACAUUAAGCAUAAAAUAUGUCGAUGUAUUUUUUUUAGUUGCAUUUCUUUGAUUACUUGUGAGAGUGAGCCUUUUGUCUGCGUUUGUUGACCUUCCACGUGGUUUCCCUGCCUCUACCUUUGUACACAAGUCUAUUCUAGCACAGUAGCCAGAAUGGCCCAUUUAAGACCUAAGUCAAAAUUUCUUUUUUUAAGUCAAAAUUUCUCUCUUCUGCUUAAAACCCAGUACCGGUUCCCCAUUCACGGAGAAUAAAAGCCAAAGCCCUCUUGGUGGCUCCAGCGUCCUCCUCAAUUGGAGCCCGGCUCUCCCUGCACCAGCCUUACUAGCCUCACUCUGUCCUCCAGCACCCUACCUAGCCCCACCCCGCAUGGCACUCUGAACUUGUUCAAGGUUUGUUCAACUGUCAUCUUCUCAAUGAGGCCCCUCAGUACUGAUCUUACUUACUCUUCUCUUUUACCCAUAGUGUUUCUAAAAUAUCGCACAACUUACUUAUUUGUUUGUUGCCUGUCUCUCCCCUGCAGAAUGUAAGCUCCAUAGCGGUAGACACGUUGGCUUGGUCACUGGGGUGUCUUAAGAACCUAGAACUAUGUCUGGCACAUAGGAGGCACUUGAAAUUGUGUCUGUGUUCGGGAGCUUCUGAAAUGGCUCCCAGUGAUCCCUGGAAGUCCUUACUUGUAUGAUCCCCUCCCCUUGUAUGUGGGAUGGACCUAGUGACUGGCUCCUAAUGAAUAGAAUGUGGCAAAAAGUGAUGGAUGCUACUUCUGGGUCUACGUUAUAAGAAACUGUGACUUUUGUCUUGCAAGAACUCCCUCUGACCCUCUCACUUGCCUGCUCUGAUGAAACCAGCUGCCGCAUUGUGAGCCACCUUAUGGGAAGCCCAUGUGGCAGGGAACUGAGGGUGGCUUCUGGCCAACAAGUAGCAAGGAACUGAGGCCCUUGGCCCAAGAACACGUGAGGAAUGGAAUCCUGCCGGCAACCACGUGGAUGGGCUUUCCCAGGUGAACCUUCAGAAGAGACAAUAGCCGUGGCUAAGAACUUGAUUAUAGCUUCAUGGAAGAUCCUGAGACAGAGAAUUCAGCUAAGCCACACCCAGAUUCCUGACCCACAGAAACUGAGAUGGUAAAUGUUUUGAACCACUAAGCUUUGGGGUAAUCUGUUAUGCAUCAAUGGGUAACUAAUAUAGCAUCUUUUGUUGUGUUGUGUUGUGAGCAUUAUGUUUUCUAACUGGUUGGUAGGAAGUAGAAAAGGGGAACUUUUCUGUAGUUAUUUUAUAACUGGGCGCUUUACUAAACCUUCUGUUCUGAUAAUUUUGUAUUUUCCUAGUUUUUCUAAGAAGACCAUCAUAUUUGCAAAUAUAAUUUGUUCUCUUUUUCCUGUCUAACUGUGUUAGCUAGGAUCUAUGAAACAAUGUUGAAUAACAAAAUAGUAGAAAUC